UACAGAGGAGCCAAGCGUUGUCCGGAUUGACUGGGCGUAAAGCGCACGCAGGCGGAUGCGCGCGUGGGGUGUGAAAUCUGGCCGCUUAACGGCCAGGCGCCAUCCCAUACGGCGCGUCUGGAGUGAUGCAGAGGUCGAUGGAAUUACCGGUGUAGUGGUGAAAUGCGUAGAGAUCGGCAGGAACACCCAGGGGGAAACCAGUCGACUGGGCAUCUACUGACGCUGAGGUGCGAGAGCGUGAGGAGCGAACCGG
rnacentral:rRNA from 1 species